UACGGAGGGGACUAGCGUUGUUCGGAAUUACUGGGCGUAAAGCGCACGUAGGCGGAUUUGUAAGUCAGGGGUGAAAUCCCGAGGCUCAACCUUGGAACUGCCUUUGAUACUGCAAAUCUCGAGUCCGGAAGAGGUGAGUGGAAUUCCUAGUGUAGAGGUGAAAUUCGUAGAUAUUAGGAAGAACACCAGUGGCGAAGGCGGCUCACUGGUCCGGUACUGACGCUGAGGUGCGAAAGCGUGGGGAGCAAACAGG
rnacentral:rRNA from 1 species